CGCUCCCUGCUUAUUUAUUCAGCAAUGAUUAGAUCAAAAAUAUUUAUAGGGAGUCGGACCUGCCCGGUGACACAUGUUAAACGGCCGCGGUACUCUGACCGUGCAAAGGUAGCAUAAUCAUUUGCCUUUUAAUUAAAGGCUAGUAUGAAUGGUUUGACGAGAGCUAAGCUGUCUCUUUAAAAAUAUAAAAAAACUAAUUUUUAGGUGAAGAAGCCUAAAUUUAAUUGAGGGACAAGAAGACCCCUUUGAGCUUUAGUAAUUUAAUAAAAUUAAUUAUGAACACAUCAAAAUAAAGUGUUAAUAUUAUAUUAAUAUAAAUAUCGUUUAUUAAAAAUCUUUAGUUGGGGCGACUAAGGAACACCAAAAGCUUCCUUUUAAAUCACUAAAAGAAAGUCAAUUUAUAUAAUGAUCCAGCAUUUGCUGAUCAGAGAAAAAAGUUACCACGGGGAUAACAGCGUAAUCCUCCUAAAGAGUUCAUAUCGAAGGGAGGGUUUGCGACCUCGAUGUUGGACUAAGAUAUCCUAGAGGUGCAGAAGCUUCUGACGGUUAGUCUGUUCGACUAUUAAAAUCUU
rnacentral:rRNA from 2 species